UGGCGAUGAUUACAUUAUUAUCCGCGCUUCUGAGAUGAUUCAGUGAAGUAAAGGAUAUAAAAAUGGUUGAAUUUCUUGAUAUGAGCCA